AAUGAAUGAAUGAUCCAGCAUUUGUUAAACAUCACUACAUAGUGAAGACUGUGUUAGGCCCUGGGGAUACAAAGACAAAAAUUUAACAGUCUCUUCUCUGAAGGAUCAUACAUUCUGUAAGGGGAGACAACAUGUACAUAGGGAUAUGGUGAUUUUUAUUAGUAUGGGGAAUUCCCUUUGAGGUUAUCCUCUACCAGUGAAUGUGCAACUUCCUGUGCAACUUAUAAAUUAGACAGCUACCUAUGAAAGACUUUCCCAGAAUUGCCCAGCUGAUAUGUUUCAGAGAUAGGAUUUAACUCAAAUAUUCUUUCCUUUUAGAUUGAUUAUCUAUAUGAAUAUAUACAGAAUAAAUAAAAAAUAAACACAAGAUAAUUCAGUCAAGGGAAUUAUGGAGGAAAGUCCUUUCAGUUGAACAAAUCUGGAAAGGUUUCAGAACAGAAGUUAUUUUUUAAAUCUCAUCUUGAAAUAAAUGAGGGAUUCUUUGAUAAAGAGUUUCAUUCAAGAUUUGCCACAAGAAAAGAAUAUUUUUCAGGACAAUGAAUUAGCAUGAAGAAAAAUUCCUCAGAAAAAUUCUUAAAACAAGGCUUGAAGUUGGUUUCAGAAGAAGCAUAAGGAGAUAAUAAGGAAAGAGAAAUGGGACUUAAUGAAAUUUAUCUGCUUAUAUUCCUCCAUGGGAGGAUGAUACUUGUAAUUUAUAAGAACUUUUGCAUUAUUAUGGCCGUUAGAAGGAGUAUAUAUAAACAGAGGAGCCCAGCUGGUACUAGAAAAACACACAAUUGGAAGCGAUGGGAAGUUUUCUUGAAUAAUGGAAAGGACUGAAAAAAAGAGAAUUUAAAAUGCCAAUUUGAGGACUGUCUUCUAUGAGAUUUCAGGUUUGUGAAUUCUUUUGCAUCGGACCUGUGUGACCAGAGGGGAUUUCCCACCCCAAUUCUCAACCACUAUCCUCAUCUUUUACACCUCAUCAAUAGGACUCAUUCCUCUUUGAGAUUGGGUUUCCAGCUAAGGAAGAUUGCAUUUGGCAAAUUAGGAUGAAAGUAAUCAAUAUCAGCUAAGAAACAAAUGACAACACCAGAAAGCUUGAUUAUUCACCAAUUUGGCUAAUCUACUGGGAGAAAUCUUGACUACAUUGGUAGAAGACUAAGUGAAAGCAUCCUAGGUAGAACUAUCCUUGUCACUUGUCAGCACAUUUUAAUGAAAUGCCAGUCUUUUCUACCAAAUCCUGAAGAAAAACCUCUGGGUACCGAUUGAUGAAAUGAUUUUCCUCCCAAAUGGAGCCUAAACUUAAAAUAAAGCACCUCCCAUUUUGCAAAGCACAGCAGUCUGCAAGUUCAAGAGAGGGCAGAAAAGUGAUUCUCAGCCUACUCCACUUUGGAUAUGCUUCUUUGCUUGGUUUCAACUCCACAGAACAAGAUGACUGUGUAUUAAGUAAUCCCUGCUGGCUCCCCAUCCCUGAUUUCCCGCUUCCUUUUUUGGGUUGUCUCCACCCUUAGAGUUGUAAGUCUUUGAGGGCAGGGGUUGUCUUUCUUUUUAUUAAUUGUAUUACCAGCACAUAGUAGAUGCUUAAUAAAAUUGUAUUAUGUAUAUAAAAGAGGUGGAUUAGUUCUUUUUGUGGUGG
rnacentral:lncRNA from 1 species